UACGUAGGUGGCAAGCGUUACUCGGAAUCACUAGGCGUAAAGCGCAGGUAGGCGGUUCGGUAAGUCUUUUGUGAAAGCUCCUGGCUCAACUGGGAGAGGUCAAAGGAAACUACCGAGCUAGAGUUUGGUAGGGGAGACUGGAAUUCCUGGUGUAGCGGUGAAAUGCGUAGAUAUCAGGAGGAAUACCUAUGGCGAAAGCAGGUCUCUGGGCCAUAACUGACGCUGAGCUGCGAAAGCUAGGGGAGCAAACAGG
rnacentral:rRNA from 1 species